rnacentral:rRNA from 1 species
CAAAAAGCGAAUUCCAAUAUAUGUUUUCUGCUUUAUGUGCGCAUCCUCUACCUAUUAAGUGUUAAUUAAAUUAAAGGGUUUCUUUUUAAAAUCUUCUAUAACUAAUAAAAAAAUAUGGAAGAUUUUGUUACUUUGAGUAAAUUAGAGUGUUCAAAGCAAACAGAUAUAUAGCAUUUGUGCGUUUGAAUACUACAGCAUGGAAUAACAAAAUUGAACAGGUCAAAACUAUGUUUCUUUUUUUUUAUUUUUGGCUUAGUUACGAUUAAUAGGAGUAGUUUGGGGACAUUUGUAUUCAGAUGUCAGAGGUGAAAUUCUAAGAUUUUCUGGAGACAAACAACUGCGAAGGCAUUUGUCUAAAAUACUUCCAUUAAUCAAGAACGAAAGUUAAGGGAGUGAAGACGAUCAGAUACCGUCGUAAUCUUAACCAUAAACUAUACCGACUAGGUUUUGGAUGAAAGUAAAACAAAUAAGGAUAGUCUCUUCGGGGAUAGUUCUUAGAUUUCUUCCUUCAGUACCUUAUGAGAAAUCAAAGUCUUUGGGUUCUGGGGCGAGUAUUCGCGCAAGCGAGAAAGUUAAAAGAAUUGACGGAAGGGCACCACCAGGCGUGGAGCUUGCGGCUUAAUUUGACUCAACACGGGAAAACUCACUAGUUUAAGACAAGAGUAGGAUUGACAGAUUAAUAGCUCUUUCUUGAUUUCUUGGAUGGUGAUGCAUGGCCGUUUUUAGUUCGUGAAUAUGAUUUGUCUGGUUAAUUCCGAUAACGAACGAGAUCUUAACCUGCUAAUUAGCAGUAAGUACAACAUAUUUCUAUGCUGAAUUUGUAUUUGGAUAAUUUAAAAGGUUUUUUUGCCGUGCAUAUAAUGAGUACGGAAAAAAUGCAUACUGCUACCUUGUACCUAAUAAUACUUGGCGCCUAUGCAUAUUUCCAACCCUCUAUUCCCUGUACCGCAUAAAACUGGAUUAUGAUGCCAUUUCACUUUUAUGUAGAAAUGUAUUUGCUUUUACAUAAAGCUUCUUAGAGGAACGAUGUGUGUCUAACACAAGGAAGUUUAAGGCCACCAACAGGA